GUUGGGUAGGGGAGCGUUCUGUAAGCCGUCGAAGGUGGCCUGUGAGGGCUGCUGGAGGUAUCAGAAGUGCGAAUGCUGACAUAAGUAACGAUAAAGCGGGUGAAAAACCCGCUCGCCGGAAGACCAAGGGUUCCUGUCCAACGUUAAUCGGGGCAGGGUGAGUCGACCCCUAAGGCGAGGCUGAAAAGCGUAGUCGAUGGGAAACAGGUUAAUAUUCCUGUACUGGCUGUUACUGCGAAGGGGGGACGGAGAAAGCUAGGUUGGCCGGGCGACGGUAGUCCCGGUUUAAGCGUGAAGGUGGGUGUUUUUGGCAAAUCCGGAACACCAUAACACUGAGGCGUGAUGACGAGCCACCACGGUGGCGAAGUAACCGAUGCUACGCUUCCAGGAAAAGCCUCUAAGCUCUAGGUAACAGUCAAUCGUACCCCAAACCGACACAGGUGGUCAGGUAGAGAAUACU
rnacentral:rRNA from 1 species